CCCGCCCAAGGCCGGGGUGACGCAUGGCCCGCGAGGCUGAGCGCCCGGGGAAGGCGUGCUGACGUCACGACGCCCGGGUCAGGGCCUGGGCGCCGCUGGGAGCCGGGUCGUCGCUAUAGCAAUCAGGAACAGCUACCUGUCCCUUCCAAGGAUUCGGUCCACCAGAAGCGUGAGGAGGUGGCGGAGGCCCCGAGGGCUUUGCGCCAUCACUUCUGCGGCCUGCGGGCGAGAAGGUUUGCUUCGGAAGUAGCGCGGGAGGACAGGAGGCGCAGGUUGUGAGGGACGCAGGCCCCGGGGCUUCGGUCUCUGCCCUCCGAGCUCAGAGCCCCUAGGCUUCUUCCCGGCCGCGCCCAGCACUCACUGUCUUACGGUCCCGAAGCGCUUUAAGGUGCGCAGUCCGCAGGCCUUGCCUUCUGAUCUUCGAGACACCCCUUGAAGGAAGCAGUUGCAGACGCUGAGCACAGUGCCAAACCUAUAUAGAAACUCAUUUGGGAUAUGGAGGAGAAUAUGCCACCAGUUCUCCAAAAUGGAGGGAAAUGGGCUGUUUGCAGCCCCUUGGAGGUGCUGCUGUCAAGGACAUAGGGCCUGGAGGCCUAGAGGAGAAGUUGCCCCUUCCCAUGACAUCAGGAGUCCGCCUCCCAGACACCCUCCUGGAUGCUGUGGAGAAAGCCAGUCUGAAACAUUGACUUGGCCUGGGCUGACCCAAGGAAGCAAAAUGUCUGUCCUGUGAUGAAUGUGCCCUGAUGUCUCAUUGGCUAUGUUGGUCACAUGGCUUCACUGGCCACAAAGGACUCUGGGCACUGUGGGCCUCCCGUCUGAAGGUGGUUACAACUGGUUGAAACAGAUGCUCUGACUAAACACAAAGGGUAUGACAAGGCAGCACGGUCGAUUAGGCACCAAGUGAGUGGAAAAGACAAUGAAGUUCCAAGGAGCAGAUAGAAGGACAAGAUCACUGUGGCAGUAGGCGUCACAGACGAAGGAAGGCUUAUGCUGGGCUGGAAGGAUGCACAAGAUUUGGUUGGGCCACAGAAAGAACUUGAGGAGAAGGGCCUGAACCCCAAGAUUCCACAAGAAUUAAGCUAGAAGUCAAAGUGUUAUGCAAGCCUGAAGUUUCCAAGAGUAUAAGCCAAAUUUCUUCAAUGAAGAUUUCCAAAUCAGAAUGUCAGCCUCUCUUGUAGAGGAAGAACUAUUGAUUUGUGUUAACCUCCUCUGACAAAAAAUGUUACAAAGUGAGGGCCAACAGUGCACACUGUAAAGAGACCAGAAGGGACUUGAGUCUAUUAGAACUAGAGCUUCAAUUUAUAAAAUGGAAAGAGGAACAUCAGAUAGAGAUGUUAUUGAAAUAAAAUUACAUUGUUUGGUGAAACAAAAA